rnacentral:rRNA from 1 species
GAUGAACGCUGGCGGCGUGCCUAAUACAUGCAAGUCGAGCGAACGGACGAGAAGCUUGCUUCUCUGAUGUUAGCGGCGGACGGGUGAGUAACACGUGGAUAACCUACCUAUAAGACUGGGAUAACUUCGGGAAACCGGAGCUAAUACCGGAUAAUAUUUUGAACCGCAUGGUUCAAAAGUGAAAGACGGUCUUGCUGUCACUUAUAGAUGGAUCCGCGCUGCAUUAGCUAGUUGGUAAGGUAACGGCUUACCAAGGCAACGAUGCAUAGCCGACCUGAGAGGGUGAUCGGACACACUGGAACUGAGACACGGUCCAGACUCCUACGGGAGGCAGCAGUAGGGAAUCUUCCGCAAUGGGCGAAAGCCUGACGGGGCAACGCCGCGUGAGUGAUGAAGGUCUUCGGAUCGUAAAACUCUGUUAUUAGGGAAGAACAUAUGUGUAAGUAACUGUGCACAUCUUGACGGUACCUAAUCAGAAAGCCACGGCUAACUACGUG